ACUGGUUUUAAAUCGUAAAGGAUGAGAACCGAAAAGGUUCGACAAAAUCGGCUCCAUCGAUUUUGAGCAACGCGGCAGCGUUGACCCGAAGGGCGAGGCCGGAGGCCGAGUCAUCCUGCACGACCCACCA
rnacentral:sRNA from 1 species